AUGUAUGUAUGUAUAUGUGGGAAUUGAUACCUUGACAUUUAUUUUUACUAAAUUGACCGGGUUUUAGUUAAUUGACCUAGGUUUGGAUGUAGGAGUUCCUUAGUACAUGCAUGGUAGUGUGAAGACAACUUCACCUCAAGAUUACACCCUACGUUAUUAUCAUGUACAGCCAAAAAGUAAAUCAAAAAGUAAGCCAAACAUAGGUCAGGU
rnacentral:lncRNA from 1 species